rnacentral:rRNA from 1 species
UGGGGAAUAUUGGUCAAUGGAGGCAACUCUGAACCAGCCAUGCCGCGUGCAGGAAGAAGGCCCUAUGGGUCGUAAACUGCUUUUUGAACAAGAGAAAACCCCGGUACGUGUACUGGGUUGAUAGUAUUGUUAGAAUAAGCAUCGGCUAACUUCGUGCCAGCAGCCGCGGUAAGACGAAGGAUGCAAGCGUUAUCCGGAUUCAUUGGGUUUAAAGGGUGCGUAGGCGGACUGAUAAGUCAGUGGUGAAAUCUCUCGGCUUAACCGAGAAACUGCCAUUGAUACUGUUAGUCUAGAGUACAGAUGAUGUGGGCGGAAUAUGACAUGUAGUGGUGAAAUACUUAGAUAUGUCAUAGAACACCGAUUGCGAAGGCAGCUCACAAAACUGUAACUGACGCUGAGGCACGAAAGUGCGGGGAUCAAACAGGAUUAGAUACCCCAGUAGUCCCUGAGCGGGCUGGCAAGGCGCAU